UUGCACGCUGGCGGCAGGCCUAACCCAUGCAAGUCGAGCGGAUGAAGGGAGCUUGCUCCUGGAUUCAGCGGCGGACGGGUGAGUAAUGCCUAGGAAUCUGCCUGGUAGUGGGGGAUAACGUCCGGAAACGGGCGCUAAUACCGCAUACGUCCUGAGGGAGAAAGUGGGGGAUCUUCGGACCUCACGCUAUCAGAUGAGCCUAGGUCGGAUUAGCUAGUUGGUGGGGUAAAGGCCUACCAAGGCGACGAUCCGUAACUGGUCUGAGAGGAUGAUCAGUCACACUGGAACUGAGACACGGUCCAGACUCCUACGGGAGGCAGCAGUGGGGAAUAUUGGACAAUGGGCGAAAGCCUGAUCCAGCCAUGCCGCGUGUGUGAAGAAGGUCUUCGGAUUGUAAAGCACUUUAAGUUGGGAGGAGGGGCAGUAAGUUAAUACCUUGCUGUUUUGACGUUACCAACAGAAUAAGCACCGGCUAACUUCGUG
rnacentral:rRNA from 1 species